GUGGCACGUAUGACACCGCUUUGACAGAGCGGGGGAACCACCUCUGGAGCCGUCCCUGCGGCUCCUCGGGGCGACGGACCGGCUUGUCCGGUCCAGGGGCACUCCAGCCCGAAGCCCGACAGCUCACCCCGUAGGCACUGGAGGAUCUACAU
rnacentral:sRNA from 1 species